UUGGACACGCCCUAAAUGCAGCUGCGCCGUGCGCUUUACACUUUGCGUUUAGAUCUUUAAAAUAGGGCCCAUAUUAUUCUAGAGCCAUCCAUUCGGAUAUAAAUGAUCAAUAAAUGGUAGUAAAUGACCAGACAACAUUAGUCAGUUCUAUAUAUAUUAUUUCUCUACAUAAAUCUAUGUUAUUUAGGAAUCCAGUAUAUCGACCAUAACCUACAUCAUCCCAUCACUUGUUAUUGUCCCAUGUGUGCUUGUGCCGUUGUCAUCUCCCAGCAUAUUCUGAAUUACACACACAAGAUCACAUAUAACAGCACACACAUGCUACCUCAUCGUCUGAAUUUACAUUCUGCUUGACUUGAUCCACUCGAUUCUGUUCUAUUUCCUCCCCAGGGAUUUUGACAGUAGUGAUAUGGAUCGGUUGCCUAUUGCUCAUUUUGAGUGUCCUUGCUUCUCCAUCUGACAGUCUGGAUUAGAGGAACCCUCUCAUGUCAACUCUGGAGGGAGAGACAGUCUUUGGACAUCUUCAGGGAAGCUUCAUUCUGGGACCAACACACAGGCCACCCUGCCCUUGAUCCUGCCCUUGAUGAUACUCGUUGCCUUUGGAAACCAGCUGCUACCAGGUUACUAAAUCCCUACGGAGCAGCUCCCCGCUGGUUGUCUUUGCCGUCACAUUGUGCAGCACCAUUGGUGUGAUGGUCUACAGAUAAUACCACGAAUGGGAGCUACUACAUCAUCCCAAGGCUCCACAUGGAAAAUUCCCCAUCGGAGCUGGCAGUAUGACUAAAGACCAUAGAAUUCACUCUGCCGGGGAUCCUUUGGUGCAAUGUUAAGCCCCAGAGGGGAGCUGUGCCCAAGGAAGCAGUAAAAGUGUGAGGUCAGUGAUGCUGUUUACACAAUGCCUCUGAACUGUGAGGUGCAUACAGAAGACUCGCCUACACCCAAACACCUACACAGACUCUUUGGCUUGCAGGACAGCCUUUCAAACCACGCUGGCAGAGGCUCGUCUCCCCCUCACUGAGUCCAUCACAGUUCCGUGGGCCUUUCUCUGCCCAGCUGCUGUAGGCAUGCUGGGUUCUGAAUUCGGCAGGCGGAGAGCGUCGGACAGAGUCGGCUACGCACCAGCGGGGGACAAAGGAAGCAGGCAAAAAGGCCAAACUCCCCUGGCAGAUCUGAGCAACUGCAGGCAGCAUCAGAGAGGAUGAAGUCUUUGCUGUAUGCACGAUGGCCCUUUUCUGCUACGUGACUGCACCUGUCCACUCACCAACAAUAUCAACACCAUGGGCUGCAUCAGAUUAAACAGAUCCAUGCCUCAUCACAACUGAGCCGUCAGUAUUUUUUCAUUUUCUCCUGCUUUGUUGUUGUCAGGACUCCUGGUUUAUUUGAUCUGUCACAUGACUGGCGAAAGGUCAGUUUGUCUGCACGAAAUCUGUACCCACACUGUUCUGCAGAAAGCACUACUGGUUGCUGCCAAAUCCAUACUCCUUUCAUUCACAAAGUUUUUCUAGUUUUAUGAAGUUUUCAUCUACAACUAAGAGUGUAGUCAAGUGCAUUUAACCUGUUUUACCAUGUUCUGCUGAUUUUCCCCCCUGAUUCUGUAAGCUAACACUGAUAUGAUCAAUCUCACUGCUUUGCAUGAUUUUCUCUCCCCGCAUGCAGAGAAGUAAUGGAAAGCAAUUAGUGGAAAAUGGAAAUCUGUGUCAGAAAUGGUCUGGAUUCUGAGUAAGUUUGAUUUGUACAUUUAGAAUAAUUUAUGCACCACUGUAAUUUACACACAAAUACUUUCUCUGCAACUAAUUCUUUGUCAAAAGAAAGUUUUAGUUUUAAGAAAACAGUUUUUAAAAUCAUAAUAGACUAAAGAACUGUUCUGCUGAUGUUCAUAACUAUUGCACUAGAACGGCAGUAGUGAAUCUGAGAAAAUUGGCUUCAGAGUUUUUUGAUUGAAUCAGAGUUCAUUUUAUAUGAAUUUUCACAUGAUUUCUCAUAUGUCAAUUUUGAAUAUCCAUCCAGUAUUUUCAACUAAUAAUAUAAUCAUCACAGCACAAACCU